UACGGAGGAUGCGAGCGUUAUCCGGAUUUAUUGGGUUUAAAGGGUGCGCAGGCGGACUGUCAAGUCAGCGGUAAAAUGUCGGGGCUCAACCCCGGCCGGCCGUUGAAACUGGUGGUCUGGAGUUGGAGAGAAGUAUGCGGAAUUCGUGGUGUAGCGGUGAAAUGCAUAGAUAUCACGAAGAACUCCGAUUGCGAAGGCAGCAUACCGGCUCCAUACUGACGCUGAGGCACGAAAGCGUGGGGAUCGAACAGG
rnacentral:rRNA from 1 species